ensembl:lncRNA
UGACAACUGUUUUGUCGCUCACGUUCCUGCGGCGCAACCCUGUAUCUCCUUCCCAUCUUCCAGCGAAACAAUUUCUAAGCAGCAUCGCAACACCUCUGCAAUGCACAUUAUGGACUUUACUGGAAACAUUUUAAUACAUCGAAACAUAUCAAAGAAGACAAGGGUGGCACACAUUGAAAAUACUAUUUUCUAUGUACCUUUUCCCUUCAUAGUUUAUGGAGCGAAAGCGAACUUUCAGCGAAUUUUAUGAGUACAAAUAAAAUCACCUGACCUGCGGACCGCAAGUUUGGGAACCCUGCUGUAAAAACUCUGUGAGAAC